ACUAAGCUCUCUCUCUCUCUAGAUCUACUCCUUUCAAUGCCAUCUUCAAGUGUGCCGCUAGAAAUAUAUAUGGAAGAAAAACAAUGUGAAGAAGAAGAACUGAAUUACAUUUUCUAUGAAACCUUGGAGGAAGCUUGUGAAUCCAUGUGGAACACUCAUUUGAGCAAGAAAAUUCAAGCCACUAAAGUUACAAAGGAACGAGAAUAACUAACAAUCACACAACCUCGACCUCGGACCUUCAUCCUUCAUGGAGGUUGGGGGUUGAUUUUUUUCCUUACUACAUUCACCUCUCUUUGCUUGUGAGAGAAUUUAGUUCGUUGUCCAAUAAUAUAGAUUAUGUAUUUACAUGGUUCCCAAAAAAAAAAUAAUGGACAAAUCACAAAAUAUUGUCCAAUAAAAGAGACUAUAUGCUUACAUGAUUCAGGGAAAAAAAAAUUUGAUGGACAAAUCACAAAAGGGGCAAUUUCAUAUCAGAGGAUGUUUAGAAAUAUUUUCCAAUUAAUGAUAAACUUUAUCAUGAAUUUGUAAA